UACGUAGGGUGCAAGCGUUGUCCGGAAUUAUUGGGCGUAAAGAGCUCGUAGGCGGUCUGUCGCGUCUGCUGUGAAAACUCAGGGCUUAACCCUGAGCUUGCAGUGGGUACGGGCAGACUAGAGUGCGGUAGGGGAGACUGGAAUUCCUGGUGUAGCGGUGGAAUGCGCAGAUAUCAGGAGGAACACCGAUGGCGAAGGCAGAUCUCUGGGCCGUAACUGACGCUGAGGAGCGAAAGCGUGGGGAGCGAACAGG
rnacentral:rRNA from 1 species